UACGAAGGGGGCUAGCGUUGUUCGGAAUUACUGGGCGUAAAGCGCUCGCAGGCGGAUUGAUAAGUCGGGGGUGAAAUCCCGGGGCUCAACCUCGGAAUUGCCUUCGAUACUGUCUAUCUAGAGUCCGGGAGAGGUGAGUGGAAUUCCUAGUGUAGAGGUGAAAUUCGUAGAUAUUAGGAAGAACACCAGUGGCGAAGGCGGCUCACUGGCCCGGAACUGACGCUCAUGAGCGAAAGCGUGGGGAGCAAACAGG
rnacentral:rRNA from 1 species